rnacentral:misc_RNA from 1 species
GAUGAAGGAACGUAGCGAAAUGCGACAAGUAAUGUGAAUUGCAGAAUUCCGUGAAUCAUCGAAUCUUUGAACGCACAUUGCGCCCGCCAGCAUUCUGGCGGGCAUGCCUGUUCGAGCGUCAUUUCAACCCUCGAGCCCCCCCGGGGGCCUCGGUGUUGGGGGACGGCACACCAGCCGCCCCCGAAAUGCAGUGGCGACCCCGCCGCAGCCUCCCCUGCGUAGUAGCACACACCUCGCACCGGAGCGCGGAGGCGGUCACGCCGUAAAACGCCCAACUUUCUUAGAGUUGACCUCGGAUCAGGUAGGAAUACCCGCUGAACUUAAGCAUAUCAAUAAGCGGAGGA